GUUUUGACUACUGGGGUAAAGGCACACAAGUGACCGUCACAAGUACUAAACCUAAAAAACCUGUGCUGUUCAGGAUGUCUGGGUGUACUACUUCAGCGACCCAAACGCAUGGCUGUCUGGCCUCUGAAUAUUCCCCUGGCACACCACUCAGUUUCAAAUGGACUGAUCAAAAUGGAACUGCCCUGACUGACUUUGUUGAACACCCUGCAGUAGAAAGGAAUGGAACAUCACUGAAAAUCAGUCACAUCACUGUUACAGGAAAUCAAUUAGGUAAAAACAUUACAUGUAAAGUAGUCAUAGACCAAGCACCAACCCUGAGCCUGGUCCCUGUAAUAACUCAGAAAAGUACAUCUGUCAUGUGUGUUAUUGAGGACUUCCACCCCAAACCCAUCACUGUACAAUUGAAGGAAAAUAAAACCAAUAUUCAGCAGCUAACAACACUGGGUUACACUCAGGAUGAAGAUACAGGUCUUUACACAGCACGGAGUCUUUAUACAGUUAGCAGUGAAACAUGGAACAAACAUACUGAAUACACCUGUGAGGUCACGUACAUGGGCCAAGUGAAACAUGAGACUAAAAACUUCAAAGCUACGUUAGAGCUGACCUUAAAGUCACCAAUACAGACAGACAUAUUCCUCUUCGGUGACGUGAUCUUGCAGGCUGUUGUUUCUGGAAAUGAACAUAAAGCAGUGGAAGAUGCCUCAGUGUCAUGCGACAUGGAAAAUGAAGCUUUAACCUUAAAUAAUGCUGUUCAAAAAGAUUCACAAGACAAGUUUCAGAAAAUCCACAAUGUCACGGUUAUAAGAGAUAAAUGGUUUGCUGGUAAAAUGGUCACCUGUACUAUCAGUGACAAAAACAUAAAGAAGAAGAUCAGUUUUAAUAAAGGAGAGGAACCCAGUGUUGUCAUUUAUGAACAACACAGUAAAAACAAAAAAAGUUCAUAUGUCUCUCUGGUAUGCGAGGUCAGCAGCUCUCAACUUGGUGAUGUUUAUAUUAUGUGGAGAGUAGAUAAUGAAGAAGAAUAUAAAGAGGGUAAAACCAGUGCUCCAAUCAGUCAGCAGUACUCUACAUCUGUCAUCAGCUUAUUUGAAGUGUCUGAAGAAAUAUUUGAAAAAUCCACAAUCUACUGCGCAGUCCUGCAUGCCAACAUGGAGAAUACAAAAGCACCAUUAUUAAUACCAGCAAGCAAAAAUGAGCCUCCAGAACCUGAGACAGGCUUUGCAUUACACUGUAAUGAAUCUGUUUUGGAGGAGGAUGAGUUCAGAAGUCUCUGGUCUACUGCCACCUCAUUCAUCUUCCUCUUCCUCUUUUCUCUGACCUACAGCGCUCUUAUCAGCCUAUCUAAGAUGAAGCGGUGAAAAUAAUUUAAAAAAGAAAAUGAAGACUCAGAGGUUAUUUCUUUCUUUGUGAUCAUUGUGAAUUUGUUUUUUUCUCUUUUGUUUUAUAUUUGUUUGUUUGUUUUGUAUUUUUGGUCAUCAUUAUGCAAGCUCAUUGCUGAAAUUACAUUAUUUGUGUUUUUGAAGAUAUUGACAAUUAUGCACUCAUAAUUAAUAAAUCCACAUGUGAAGGUUGUUUUGUAGAAGUAGAAAUAGCUUUGUUUACUGUAAAAUAUAUGCUAAUUAUUUCAGAUCU